AAUGACUUUGCUCGUGAGUAUUGCAUCAGGUACUGGUUAUUAUUAUUCUUAUCAGUAUCUGGGUAAAACUCAUGAGCCGGGUUAA